rnacentral:rRNA from 1 species
UACGUAGGGUGCGAGCGUUAAUCGGAAUUACUGGGCGUAAAGUGUGCGCAGGCGGCCGAGCAAGUCGAGUGUGAAAUCCCCGGGCUUAACUUGGUAAUUGCGCUCGAAACUACUUGGCUUGAGUGUGGCAGAGGAAGGUGGAAUUCCACGUGUAGCGGUGAAAUGCGUAGAGAUGUGGAGGAACACCGAUGGCGAAGGCAGCCUUCUGGGCCAACACUGACGCUCAUGCACGAAAGCGUGGGGAGCAAACAGG